UCUGCUUUAAGCUAACCAGUUCCAUCUGUAAUGUAUCAUUGGCUUUCUCCAGAACAAGACACCGGUCCUCGGCAGUGUUUAGUUUUGCCGCUGCCAUCGACAUCUCAUCAUUAAGCGUCUUCAAGUCUUCUUUCAAGCGAGAAAUUUCAGUCUCCAGAUUAGAUAUCUUUUCAAGGGAAAGCUGUUGUUGACUUGCAGAAGCUUCCAUUUUGGAGUAGGAUUUAGAUAGUAUACCUUUCAAGCUUUGAACUUCAGCUUCAGAUUUGUCUGCGCGCACUGAUUCG
rnacentral:misc_RNA from 1 species